ensembl:miRNA pma-mir-19b pma-mir-19b
CAUGCUCUCCCUGCCAGUUUUGCAUGUUUGCUGUCGGCUUGUCAAAAUGUGCUGUGCAAAUCCAUGCAAAACUGACGGUGAGUG